rnacentral:rRNA from 1 species
AUUGUAGUCAUAUGCUUGUCUCAAAGAUUAAGCCAUGCAUGUCUAAGUAUAAGCAAUUAUACCGCGAAACUGCGAAUGGCUCAUUAUAUAAGUUAUCGUUUAUUUGAUAGUACCUUACUACUUGGAUAACCGUGGUAAUUCUAGAGCUAAUACAUGCUAAAAAUCCCGACUUCGGAAGGGAUGUAUUUAUUAGAUUAAAAACCAAUGCCCUUCGGGGCUCACUGGUGAUUCAUGAUAACUCCUCGAAUCGCAUGGCCUUGUGCCGGCGAUGGUUCAUUCAAAUUUCUUCCCUAUCAACUUUCGAUGUUUGGGUAUUGGCCAAACAUGGUUGCAACGGGUAACGG